ensembl:lncRNA
GCCUGGCAAGAGCUCAACCAAUGAGAGACUCUCACAAUUCAGCCAAUGAGAAGCCCCUAUACUUCGAACUCUCAACUCUUCAGUGGACUCUUGUUUCUCAUAAACCUGGCAACUUUCUUUACCUCUCUUCAAAAGAGUUCUUUCUUUGUUGUGGUGGCUCACCAUGGUUACAGACCCCAAAUUUCAAAUCCUUGUUGAUUCCAAUUAAGCCCAUUUUUGCUGGAGAAAUAACUGGUAAUCUGUGUUAGUUAAACAUUUUGGCGGUCCACAUGGGGAUCCAGAGAAGGCUCCUGUUGACUUCCAGGCUGAGAAUUCCUGAGUAACAACUUUCAGAGAUAAAUCAACUCACUGCAGUGGCAUCCUAUCCAUGGACUAGUGACCCAGGUGGAGCUGAGUUCCCUCCCUGCUAUUUACCUGGGGCCAAACUAUGGUGGAGGUAAUGAAAAUUUUGACCUCCCUCAAAAGAUCCCAGGCAUGUGCUGCUACAGUCCGUGCCCCCAACCCUGCAGCAGGCCACCACUGACCCACGCCUUCGCUGGAGACCCUGGAUACCCCCAAGGUCAAGAAGCAACAGUUAGAACCGGACAUGGAAUAACAGAAUGAUUCCAACUUGGGAAAGGAGUACAUCAAGGCUGCAUCUUGUCACUGCUUAUCUAACUUAUAUGCAGAGUACAUCAUAUGAAAUGUGGGGCUGGGUGAAGCACAAACUGGAAUCAAGAUUGCCGGGAGAAGUAUCAAUAACCACAGAUGUGUGAAUGACACCAUCCUUAUGGCAGAAAGUGAAGAGGAACUAAAGAGCCUCUUGAUGAAGGUGAAAGAGGAGAGUGAAAAAGCUGGCUUAAAACUCAACAUUCAGAAAACUAAGAUCAUGCUGUCUGGUCCCAUUACUUCAUGGCAGAUAGAUGGGGAAACAAUGGAAACAGUGACAGACUUUAUUUUCUUGGGCUCCAAAAUCACUGUGGAUGGUGACUGAAGCCAUGAAAUUAAAAGAUGCUUUCUCCUUGGAAGAAAAGCUAUGACCAACCUAGACAGCAUACUAAAAAGCAGAGACAUUCCUUUGCCAACAGAGGCCCAUAUAGUCAAAGCUAUGGUUUUUCCAGUCUCACAUAUAUGUAUUUGAGAGCUGGACCACAAAGAAGGCUGAGUGCUGAAGCACUGAGCACUUUCAAACUGUGGUGUUGGAGAAGUCUCUUGAGAGUUCCUUGGACUGUAAGGAGAUCAAGCAAAUCAAUCCUAAAGAAGAUCAACCCGAAUUUUCAUUAGAAGGACUGAUGCUGAAGCUCCCAUAUUUUGGCUACCUGAUGUGAGAGCUGACUCAUUAGAAAAGACCCUAAUGCUGGGAAAGAUUGAAGGCAGGAAGAGAAGGGGAUGACAGAGGAUGAGAUGGUUGGAUGGUUGGCAUCACCGACUCAAUGGACAUGAGUUUGAGCAAACUCCAGGAGAUUAGUGAAGGACAGGAAGCCUGGCAUGCUGCAGUCCAUGGGGUUGCAAAGAGUCAGACACAACUGAGUGACUGAACAACAAGAACAAUGAAUC